UACGGAGGGGGCUAGCGUUGUUCGGAAUUACUGGGCGUAAAGCGCACGUAGGCGGCUUUGCAAGUCAGAGGUGAAAGCCCGGGGCUCAACCCCGGAAUAGCCUUUGAGACUGCAUCGCUAGAAUUGUGGAGAGGUAAGUGGAAUCCCGAGUGUAGAGGUGAAAUUCGUAGAUAUUCGGAAGAACACCAGUGGCGAAGGCGACUUACUGGACACAUAUUGACGCUGAGGUGCGAAAGCGUGGGGAGCAAACAGG
rnacentral:rRNA from 1 species